CCGGUCCCCAGGGCCACCCACACUGUCCCCCAGGGCAGCCCUUCUGCAAAGCCAGGAGAGAGAGGAAAACCUGCCCCACUCAGGUGGGCCGCGGCCCGGCCGGAUCCUGAUGCUUCUUGUUGAGAGCCGCCAGCCUGCCUCCCGGGCACAGGCAGACAGCAUGAAGAGGCCUCCUCACUCUGGACCGGUCAGAGAGGCAGACAGCAAAGCACUGUUUUGCCUUGGGGCGGGGUCAACACAGAGCUCCUGUCCGGGAAGCCGUGGUGUAGAGAAAGGAUGAUCUCCCGACCCCAUCCUGAGCGUUCUGAGUGGAAACCAGACCCCGUGGGUGCCCAGCCAGGAUCAGUUUGGCAGAAGUACCUGGAGUGUGAGAAACUAAUAAGAUCCAUUCAACUUGAAGGCUAAUUUUAUAUGACUGUGUCCAUUUUUCCCCCAAGAAAUUUCACACCUUGACACAAACGAGGAGAUUCUAAGAAAGAGAAAUUUAAUGUAAGUAGCAUUUCCAACCAUGGAGGGGUAUAUGGAAAUGGGCCUUUUUCUCUGUGACCAGUGGCCUCCUGCGAUACAUGAAAGGAAGACCGCUCCCCCAACAUGGUGUCCCUCCCACGACAAUAAAGCCCCAAGUUGGCUCAUCUCACAAGGACCUUGUACAUCUGAUGGCGUCUUUUGAAGGCAGGUCAGUGAGAAUGAUACCUGAGCUGCAACUUAGCUGGCAUUACCUGGCAUACAGUGAGUGCCCAAUAAAUGCUGGCUGGCUGGCUGGCUGGAUGGAUAGAUAAGUGAGUGAGUUA